CUCUCCGCGUAAAGUCUCACCAGUCCCUCCUGGUUCUCAUUUCGCUCUUUCUAGAACUCUCACCAUCUCUCUUGAACUUCAUUUUCUCGUUUUCAUUUCUUUUUAUUUUUGUUAUUGUCAAGAACUGGCUAACCCGCAGGAAAAAAUUCUGGAGGAAACCGAAUCCAAGAACCAAGUGGUGGUUCUUGCCCUCUAUGAGGCCUUAAGAUCUCGAGACGUGGACACAGUACACCAGAUCCUAGCUCCAGAUCUCGAGUGGUGGUUCCAUGGCCCGCCUUCUCACCAGUUUAUGAUGCGCCUACUGACCGGAGUGGCCGCCACGUCAGCAUCCGACUCCUUCGAAUUCGUCCCUCUCUCAGUCACCUCCUUCGGCUCCACUGUCAUCGUCGAAGGCUGCGAUCACGCGCGCGCAAUCUCCUGGGUUCACGCCUGGACCGUGACCAAUGGGAUAAUUACACAGGUGAGGGAAUACUUCAAUACUUCUCUUACUGUCACCCGCCUAGGUAACAGCCAGUCCUCACCCUCUGAUUACCAAUCUUCGUCCUCUUCAUCAACGGUGGAGAUCGCUCCUCUGCAUUGCCCGUCCGUUUGGGAGAGCAGUUUCUCCAAUCGGGUCGGUAAAUCCGUGCCGGGUCUGGUCCUGGCCAUAUAAACAAAAAGAAAAAUCAAACCCCGCCACAAAAUCACACUCUCGAACGAACCUUCCGAUCAGCUACGGAUAAUAUAUAAAAUAAAUAAAUAAAAAAAGGAGUGUGUACGUGUCAGCUCCUGGUUGGUUCGUAACUGAUGGGCUGAGAAUUUUAAAAGACGAGAGAUGUGAGCCAUUAUAGUAAGGCGGUGUUUGGGUUUUAGGUUCUGUUUGGUUUCGCGUUUUAUUUAAUCCGUGUUUAUGUUUUUGUUUUUUUUUUUUUGUUUUCUAGUGUGGUUGGUGUUUGCCAGAGCAUGAUGGGGAUGAGUGGAACCAAGAUGGGGAUACCCAGUUGGCCAUUUCCUGAUGAGGAUGGAGCCACGUCAGCACAUAUAUUUGGAUGUUACUGGGGGAGCCACAAACUGGAACAUAUGAAGCACUUUUAAGAUCAGAAAACCUUCAACUUAUGGAUGAAGUUGCCCCUGGCUAUGACCCACUUAAAUUUUGGACAAAA